CGGAGUGGCGGACGGGUGAGGAAUACAUCCGGAAAUCUACUCUGUCUGGGGGGAUAACGUAGGGAAACUUAACGCUAAUACCGCAUACGACCUACGGGUGAAAGCAGGGGAUCUUCGGACCUUGCGCGAUUGAAUGAGCCGAUGUCGGAUUAGCUAGUUGGCGGGGUAAAGGCCCACCAAGGCGACGAUCCGUAGCUGGUCUGAGAGGAUGAUCAGCCACACUGGAACUGAUACACGGUCCAGACUCCUACGGGAGGCAGCAGGG
rnacentral:rRNA from 1 species